UCGAUUGCAGAAUCGUAUCUGGUAAUAUUCACUGCAGAUCAGCAUAUAUCUGGACACUCGCUGCAGAAAAGCUUCAUUCAGUGCAGAAUUGGUCGUCCACAGAACUGAUCUGGAACGUCUGUUCAUUCAUAGAAAGUCAUUGCAGAAUCAGUUUUGAUUACUGAAAGAGAUGAUGAGGGCUGUUAUCGAGAAGUGGCGUACCGGUGUGAUUUGAGAGUUGUUGGGAGGCUGUUUCGGGACAGCAUCGGUGAUGAAACAGUACAGUGGGAUGUUGUAUAGGGCUGCCAAAACGGGUUAAUAUGAAAACAACCAAGAGCAAGUUUGAAGCAAGUGACUAAGCAAGAGCAAGAAACAAGUCGGAUCUUUAUGAGAUUUAUUUGCGUAAGAUACAAUCAAGAAAGGUUGACUCCUAAACUCAGAAAAAAGUCAAAGCUUCGUAUACCUGAGUCAUUAAUUGCAGGUGUGUUGUUGCUGGAAUGAGCUUCACCAUAUGUGCUUACCUGAGUCAUACCUAAGUCAAAACCCGACUCAUGGUCUAGGUAAAAAAGUUGACCUUUCUUAUUUACAAAUGAAAUAACUUUCGUCUAGAGGUGGAA